CCGAGUUCAUGCCCUUACGGGUAGAUCUCCCACCCUAUGUUAUACUACCUUUGUUGCUUUGGCAGGCCGUCAGGCUUCGGUCAGGCUACCGGCUCCGGCUGGUAAGCGCCUGCCAGAGGACCCUAAACUCUGUGCUUGGUGUUGUCUGAGUACUAUUUUAAUACGUUUA
rnacentral:misc_RNA from 1 species